UUCAGCAGUAAAGAGCUCUCAAAUAGACAGCUGUUACACAAGCAGGAAACCAACCCACUCAACAACACACAUUUGAGAAGAUGUUGAGAGUUCUGGGACAUCUGUUGUGUCUCUUUAUAUGCUGUUGGGGAGCUGGUGGCUUGACAGAGACACUGGUGGAACUUGGACAGAAUGCAACCAUAAACUGUUCUCUUAACAUAGAAAGUGUACACUGGUACAUACAGCACCAACCACAGCCUCCACUGGCCAUACUCCGCUCUUUCACUAGUAGUAUUCCUGCUGCUUUUUAUUACAAUAAUCAUUUUAAACAGACAUAUUCUUUACUAACAGGAAAUAGAUUGUUAAUACAGAAUGUAACGGUAGAUGAGAAUGGAGUGUACUACUGUGCAAUGAAAGAAAACAAUGGUCUCCUAUUCAGCAACGGCACCAGACUCAUGACCACUGAGGUUUAUGCUGACUAUCUAAACCAGACCUCCAACUGCAGGUCAUCAUGGGAGAACUGUCUUCUGUCCAUUUACAGUGUUCUGAAUGUUAUUCUGAUCGUUCUGAUCCUGGUACAUAUCGUGACCUUGGCAUGUCAGAACAUAAACUGUCUUUCAAAACUAAGACCACCUCAAGAUGCAGACCAGUGAAAUCAGUGACACAGCUCACACACCACCAAGAACAGGAUUAAAUCCUGAACUUGUAUCAAUCAUUACUAUUGCAGUAUACUGCAUGCUUCCACAAGCGUAAGAUAACAACUCCUGCAAUAGGUCUAUUCUUAGAAUCACUUACUGUAGAAUGAUGCAAGUCAUGUGACAAUGGCAGAGUGAACAUAUGGCUA